UCGGUGUGUACCGGUCGAUAGAAAGGCACAUACCAUUUCGCUUAACCGGCUACCAAGAUAGAACAAGACGGUGCAUGUGCCAGAUAUCGUGUCGACGGUAUUGGUGCGCAUUAUCACUCGGUAUUUCGUGAAAUCAGUCGCCGCGAGAGCUGCCUCCGGCUCAGUACACCAACGGACCGCUCCAUGAAGUACCUUUCUCCUUCUAACAGUCUCUUUCUCUCUGUGUCCUUUUUUUUUUCUCUCACCUACGCCAUAAAAAAGAAAAAAAAGAGAGAAAGAGACCGUUCGGUUUGUAACCUCUCGAAAUUGUUGACGUUUAAAACGGAGUAAUAAAUAAGAUCGUGUGUGUAAAAGAAAAAAAGAAAAAAGAAAAAGAAAAAAGAAAAAAAAUAAGAAAAAGAAAAACAAAAAGAAAAGAAAAAAGAGAAAAAGGAAAAUAGAAAAAAGAAAAAUCGGUGUUGAUUUACAACUCUUUCUCGAGUGUUUUCUCUUCUACGAUUGUCUGUGAGCGACGAUAAAUACGAUAAGAUUGUAAAAAUUUAUUACAGAAUCCUUCUUGGGAUCCAGACGUAUAACUCACAAGUCUGAGAUAAAGAGAAAACGGGUGCUCUUUAAGAAAGUAAAAAAAGAAAGAAGGAAGGAAAGAAAGAAAGAAAGAAAGAGAGAAAGAGAGAAAGAAAAAGAGAAGAAAAAAAGAAAAAGAAGACGACGACAAGUUCGUGACGAGAAACACUUUGUAGAAGAUGAAUUCCAAGAAAAUUUAAACUGGAUAUAAGGUACGAAUGGAAAAUCUUAAGAAAGGGAAAGUAAAGUGACGAGUUCUAUCGAUAUAACGAUGUUGACAUCAUCGCAAAAGUUAACAUUAUAAAUUUCAAGGUUUUACAAUUAUAAAAGAGCGUCUAUGAUUGACAUGGCCUUGAAUUCAAACACGAAGAUCAUUGAAGUUUGUACAUGUGCGUUGUCAAUGAGAACGAAUUAUUUUAAUCCAUAAAAAAAAAAAUUAUACUUCUAACAUGUUAUACUACAAACAUGUAUUUAUACUUCGUGACGUUAUGGCGUGUGUUCUAAGGAAAGAAGAAAAAAAAAAAAAAGAAAAGAAAAGGAAGAAAAAGAGAGAUUAUUACGAUCUAGUAAAAAGGUCGAUUUAAAAAUGAUCUAUCUUGGAUCGGAUUUAACGGAAGGCGGAGCGUAUACGGUAGGAAGAGCUCAAUUCUUCUUAACGAACCAUUCGCCUUUCACCGUGUUGCCGCCAUUUUCGAGUAUCUCAUGCUCUAUCACAUACAACUCGUUUAAUACGAAGACAAAAUAUCCUUUAGAUAUUUAAAUUUAGUAAAUAUUUUUUUUUCUCGAAAAAAAAAAAUAAAAUAAAAUAAAAUAAAAUGAAACAACAAAAUAUUAUGAUUUCUUAAUUCGAUGCACAUGAGCAUUUUAAUGUAUAUAUUUUGCCGAUGCAAGAAAAGCUGUUGUAAAAAAACAAAAAAAAACAAAAUAAAAGAAUAAAUAAAUAAAAAAGAAUAAAAAGGAAUACAAAAAAAAAAUAAAAAAAUAAAAAAAUAAAAAAAUAAAGAACAUGCUGAUAAGGCACGAUUGGACUUGGAUCCGGCGGUUACAUACAUAUCUCUGAAAGGUUGCAAUUAAACGUCACUAUUGCUAUAUCAUUCCCUUCCUGUCUCGAAAUGUCGAUCGUAAGAAAUAAUCGAGAUAAAGAAAUUCAAAGAGAAAGAGAAUGAGAGAUAUAGAUUAGAAAGAAAAAAAAACAAAAAAAAAAACAAAAAAAGAAAAAAAAACAAAAAGAAAAAAAACAAGAGCAAUCACAUAUCUGCUUGCAGGCAAAGUUAAGAUCUUUCUCUUAGAAAUAAAUAUAUUACAUAAUAUCUAUGCUACGCUGAUAAAGACUCGAGUAGAUUUAGUUUAACAUAAAGACGAUCGAUAUGAUAUUAAUGUGAUUGCAAAAAAAACCGCAUAAAAAAAAAAGAAAAUAAAUAAAUAAAUGAAGUUAAAACAUAUUAAAGAUUACAUUGGAAUUUUAUCAUUCUCGUUAUCAUACAUAUUCUCCAUUCAAAAAAUUCUAAUCACGAACAGACGGUUUGUUCUUGUCUUGUCUUGUCUUGUCUUAGAUAAUUUUUUACAAUGUGACAUAUAUAAAAAGGACAUCGUUAAUAACUUAAGAAAAUCCUCGAAAAGGAAAUUUUUACGAAUGUAAUAAGACAUAUCAACGAUAAUAAAACGUUCAACGAAUAUGAUUCAUAAUACGUCUAAUGAGAGUCAAAUCCGUCGCCAUAUUAUUAGAUUAGAACACUUUUGCGGUUAAUCUUACUCUGCAAGGAAGAUACCGCGAAAAAGAUAGAUAAAGGGUAACGACACUCAAUGAUAUCUUUGGAAGCUGUAUAAUGAUGUAAAGCGACAGAGAUAAUACGUCAUCUGCAUAGGCCAAUUACGAGAUCAAUAAUUACAAGAUAUAUAAAUCAUUAACAUUUAUUCUUCUAACGUUUAGUUUUACGCGAUAUCUUGCAAAUAACAUUUCUGUUUCUUUAAGAGAGAGAAAAAAAAAAAAAGAAAAGAAAAUGAGAAAUAUUUUCAUCUAAAUAUCAGUCGGAUGAAUGCAACGACAAUAAUGAAUGUCUACGAGAGAACAAUGUUUAAAUUACUUUUGACGGAUGUGGUCUACGUUCGAGGAAAUAACGGUUAGCCUUUUUGGAGAAAAAAAAAAGAAAGAAAAAAAAAAAUAUCCUUCAAAACUUACAAUAGUAAUAUGCGCGAAGAGAAAUACGAUAAAGUAAACGAGCGAAAAACAAUCGAUGACAAUAAUAUUAACAAUGAUUAUGUCGAUGUUUAUCAAAAAUUCAUUUUAUCAAAGAAAUCCAAGGGAAUUCUUUACGUGCCUUCUACCUUUCCCCAUCCCUUCCCGUCAUCAUAAUUUUCGCUUAUGAAUUUAAAAAUUAAUUCUCUAUACUAUGACGGGAUAUAAAAGAAACUUAGAACGAACGGAUUCGUUAAAUGAAAAGAAAGAUUCAAAGAGAUAGAAAGAUGCCGAUGAAUUAAUGUACAUUUAUUUACGUGAACUUUGACUCCUUUGCUUCAGCCUGACCUCAGAAUAAAGUGCUCGACUGUUUGUGUGUGUAUGUAUGUGUAUAUAUGUAUAUAUAUAUAUAUAUAUAUAUGUGUGUGUGUGUGUGUGUAAGUACAUCCGUUAAAUCUAAUACUUCUUUCUCUUUUUCAUGGAGAAAAUAUAAUACAUGUUAAAAACGAAAUAUAUUUUUUUUCUAUUAAAGGGCGAUGAGAAAACAGUUUUAAGAUUAUUGGAAUUUCUUAAUUGACAGGUGAAAGUGUGAUGAUACUUAAGUUGAAAUAUUUUUUGAAAACUUUCGUUAGAUUUUGAAAACGAUCAUUGUGACAGUAAUUAGAAAAUUUAGACAAGAUCUAAGAAGAAUCUAUUCCUUAUUUUUCUACUUUUCUUUUCUGUAUUUUUUUUUUUUUUUUUUUUUUUUUUUUUUUUAUCUAAAAGUAAAAUUUUUAUUAAUUUCUUGCUUUUAUCGUCUAACGAAAACCAUAUAUAUAUAUAUAUACAUAAAAAAAUAUUUCUCUCGGACGACCCGACAUCGUGCACUCUCACCUCUUCUUUACGUAAGAAUCAUUAUAAGAUAGAACGUUCAUACGAGAACAUUUCUGACUGAGAAGGCGAUAAAGGUUUCGAACUUCACCUAAAUUCGGAAAUUUUCGUCUAAUAACUUGAUCAUUAUUUUUGCUCUUGUAUAUUAGUCGAAAGGAAGGAAUUUUACAUCGUUUGCAAAUAUAACGAUAAUGUAACUGGCUAGAUGAAAUACAUGAAUUUCGAAAGAAUUUCAAACGAUUUCUUUAAAGAAAAGAUAUUUAUUUUUGAGAGAGAUUUUGAAAGGGGAAUGAAUGCUGGUAAACAGAUUCGGGUCAAAGUACGAAUUCGUGAGUCACAUAAUCGAGGAACUUGACGAACUUUAUUGAACGUACUUCGUACUAUUUGAUCUCAGUCUAUUUUCAUAAAAUAUCUAUUUUAAAUAGGAUGUAAAAAGGAGAUAAGAAAAUUGCCCUCUCGAGUUAAAUGAUCAUCGCAAAAGUUUAACGUAAUAUUUUUAAAAUUGACGAAGAAAAUAAUCAAAAAAAAAAAAAAAAGAAAAAAGAAAAAGCAAGAAAAUAACAAAAUUCAAUGAGGAAGGAGAUCACUUGCAUUUUAACGUCAAUCGUGACGAGCGAUUGAGUGACUCAAGGGACAAGUGACGCAGCGAACAAGUGUUUAAAUAGAAAUAAUGGCGACCCUGGACGAUCGUUCAAACCGAUAAAAUUCAAACGUAUUCCGAGACUACGACAGCGACGAAGGUAAUCGAAUAGACGAGCGAAAUUUAUUAGUUAAAAACUCAACCGUUCGUCUUCUUUUUUACAUUUGUUCUUUUCUAAGAAAACUUUUUCAAUAAUUCUCAAAUACUACUACAUAUUAAAUAUAGAACAUUCUCGUAUACGAGAAAAAAUUUAUGAAGAUAUGUUUCAUAACUAGUUUCAUAUAAAACGAACUUGCUAUAAGGGUCAUCGCUAUUUGAAUUGUUUAUUCGUAUUAGCAGUAGCAUUGAUGUAAGAUAAGGAGAUGCGAACGAUUUUAACAUUUUUGCGAUAUCACGUGAAUUCUUGAUAACAAAUAAGAUAGAUCGAUGUUUUUGUCAAAGAAUUAAAAUUUUCAUAAUCCUUUCUGUGACCUUCGACGAUUGAUCGUGCGCUAGAUAUAAUUUUUCCCUUAUGAUAAUAAGGGCAAAAUUUUGAAUCGAAUACGUGAGACACUUGAUCGUUCAAUAAUUAGAAAAAAAAUUGAAUAAGUAAUAUCAAAGACGAUAAUACAGAAAGAUCGAUAAUUCGACGAUUAGCAAAAGGAAAAAGGAUCACGGUGAAUGAGAAACGACAAAAUUAAAUUCAUGAACGGCAGUCGAUCGUUUACACACGUCAAUUGCUGUACCAGCGGCUUGUACAUAACGACAACGAUGGUUGCUUUAUCGCACGCAGGGGCGACGUUAUCACUCUGAUACUCAACGUAUAUACAUUCCCCGCGAGCAGCCCCCGGUCUCCAGUAACUCGCGGACCACCGGCCCAGUUCACGCAACACGCUUUCGGUAACACGAUGACAUCGACAUCGAUUCGCGGUAUUGACUCCUCGUAAGAUCUUCCAAUCGAAAUAGAAGCAAUAAGGGCAAGAAGAAAGGCAAAUGAAAAUUAGAGAAGAUUAACGAUUACGUCAAAGGAAUUAAUCAUUUAAAUUACUUACCAAAAUCACGAUGUCGAUACUUGGUCACUUCGGGUUCUCCACAGUCGUCACUUCUUCUUCUUUUCAUUUUUCUCUUUGAAAGUGUCCAAAUCAAUAGGAAAGUAGUAAAUCACAAUGAAAAUUAUAACAAUCAGCGUGCUCAUCAACUGAAUUACUAUCAGCGUUUCGUCUUUUAUCCCUUUCCCUCCAAUAGAAAACUAGAUUUACAAGCUAAUCUUCUCGUUCUCUUAUCCUUCCUUUCUGUCUCUCCCUCUCUGUCUCUCCCUCUCUAUCACUCUCUCUCUCUCUCUCUCUCACAUACACACACACUCUCUCUCUCUUUCUUUUUAUCUAUCAAUUUCUCGCUUAUUUCUCCCGAAUGAUAUCUUUCGAGACGUUCAAGGCAAAAGACAGAAACGUAAUGAGUAAAUAUUAAGGCUUGCGUGAGUACCGAUCGACGAGUCGGUGAAAAUAAAAUUUCUUUACUCGGUCGUUCUAAUACGAGACUCUCUCGUUGGCCACUGCUCUAUGAUCGAAAGCGGAGCUCGUGUAUAUUAUGUACAUAGAGCCCGAGCUGUGGCGAACGUGGCGCGAGCACCAAAGAGAAAAAGAAAGGGAAGAAGAGAGAGAGAGAAAAUAGGGAGAGAAAUAAAGAGAGAGAGAGAGAGAGAAAGAGAAUAGAAGAGAAAAGGAAGUAUUGGCUAACUGAAGGAAUAGAGAAAGAGAGAAAAAGAGAGAGAGAGAGAGAGAAAGAGGGAGAGAGAGAAAAGUAAAGACAGAGAAAGAAAAUGAGAGGAGGGGGUGAACUCCACGAAGCGAAUACUUAGGUCAGACUCAAGUUGGAGAGGGGAGAGAAAUUGAUGCCCACCACGUCCUACUUGGUAAGGUAGUGGGCAUGGCGCGAAUCGAGCUGGGAGAAACGCGUUCUUCUUGCUUCUGCGCGCGCAUAAGUCUCUUAUCAGUUAGAAGUUCAAAGAGAGAGAGUGAGAGAGAGACAGAGAGAGAGAGAGAGAGAGAGAGACAUGAGAGAGAAAGAGUGAAGGGAGGAAAGAAGCGUAGCCAAGACACCCUCUCGCUCUUCAACGUUUGAACAUUGGACGUAACAUAUAUAUAUAUAUAUAUAUAUACUAUUUAUAUAUAUUUAUUUUUUUUUUUUUUUUUAAUGAUGUCAAGGUAAAAAACAAAGGAAUAAGGCUGAGAAAAUCAUUAAAUCAUUGUUUUCUUCCUGCAUUGCAUUUCGUAUUCAACACUGUUGUUAAUUCGUCAAAAAAAAAUUAAACAUAUAUAUUAAAAAUAUAUAAAUUAAACAUAUAGAUUCGAUUCGUUUAUUUUGUUGUUAUGUACGAAAAUUUUUUAAAAGAAGAAAGAAAGGAAUCUUAUCGAUGAGAUCUAUAAUGAUAAAAUUGACAUGUCCGUAAAUCUUAGAAUGAUUCACGAUUUGUUUGUCAACAAAGUACUUCCAAAACAUUUCGAAAAUAAAUGUCAUAAAACAUCUUGUUUUCUUGCUGUAUUGUUCCAUUUCUAUUUCAAACAUAAAAAUAUGUUAAAAACAUAAUAUAAUGAGGUGAAGUAUUUAAAGGAUUUUAGAAUGAGUCACAAUAACAAACAGUGGCGGAUUUGCACGGACAAAUAGUGGAAGCGAUCGUUUCGUGUGCUCGUUCUCUAUAUGACAAUAUAAAUAUAAAUUUAUAAUAUGAUAUAUUUAUAUCAAUUUAAUUUAAUAUCCGAUGGACGGUAUAUAAUUCUUAUUUCUAUUUAUAUUGAUUUACAUUUAAUGGAAAUCCAAAAAUUUGUAACACCUCGAACCUCUUGAAAAUUCAAUCCGCCAUUGGUAACAACCCUAUUCCUCAUUGUUUUUCACACAUUGAAAAUUAUUCAUAUUCUCAGGAUAAUCGCUAACAAGCCUGAUGCAAAUUUGGACAUGUUUUGAUGUCAGUGAAUACCAAAUUGGAGACCAAGGAAUAUAAACGAUCGAUAUUUUAUAAAUAUAAUUUAUAAGAAAUUUUCUUAAUGAAUAGAUGGAUAUGUAAUAUAAAUAUUCAUUUAUUAUUUAAAAUAGAUUCACAAACUCUAUUGCUCUAUCUAAUAGCCUAUCGAUUAAAAAAUUCACGUCGCUAAAUAUUCAAAUUUAUGAUAUGUAAAUUACAGCAGCGAGGAUCGUCAUUUUCUUAUCGAACUGUCUAACGUAACAUGCAUUCUGAUUGUCGCAGAUGUAUUCUGUAACGUGACCCUGCAAAGUC